UUACGAUCAUAUCGUGUUGAAACACAGGCUCUCAUACGAUUACCGAAGAUAGCAACUUCGAGCCUGAUCAUUACCUACAUGGGUGACUGCUUGGGAAUACCAGGUGCUGUAAG